UUUAUUGGAGAGUUUGAUCCUGGCUCAGGAUGAACGCUGGCGGCGUGCCUAAUACAUGCAAGUCGAGCGAAUGGAUUAAGAGCUUGCUCUUAUGAAGUUAGCGGCGGACGGGUGAGUAACAUGUGGGUAACCUG
rnacentral:rRNA from 1 species